rnacentral:lncRNA from 10 species
UCAAGCGAUCCUCCCACCAUCAUCUCCCAAAGUGCUGGGAUUACAGGCAUGAGCCACUGUGCCAGGCCAGAUUAUGGGCAAUUUUUAUUGAUAAUUUAUAUCUUGUCUGCUUCCAAAGUGGAUGAGUCAUGGCAUAGUUCUGAGAAAAGAAAAAGGCUCGUUUCUGAGUUAUUAUGCAGAAACUUUAAAGGGCUUAAUUAACAAUAUACCUAACAGAACUUUGCUUCCUACCAAGAUUCUUCAUAGGAUUAAAAAACUGUAUCCCAUGACUCACCACUACAAACUUACUCGAAAUACAGAGAGAAAGAGUUGAGGAGGGGGCACCCCAGUAACAGCCACCACUCAUGUACCCCAGGAAAGAUUUCUAUUAGUCCCUUAAUCAAAUGUUUCACAUCACUGGCUAAUCCCUGCGACAGGGAAAUCACCUGGCAAAUAUAGCUCCUAAGCACUGGCAGAGACUGAAUACCCUAAACCUAGUUACAGCAAAUGUUUUCCCAAACAGCACCAGAGUCCCUUAACUCCUCAGAAAUCUUUUCCCAGCCAACUCUCGAUUCUCCAAACUAAGCACAUAAAUUCAUCAAAGAAAAAAAAUUACUAAUAAUACAAAAGCUUCUCUUUUGUAAACCCAUGUUCUUUCCUGCAGAAUCCUUUAAUUAGAACAGUUAGUUAAAAACCUUGCACACCUUCACCUCCAACAUAUCCAACAUCUCUGGUACAGGUGGUGGAGGGAAGACAACUAUGAUAAGACAGGGGCUGCUGUGUCACACAACAUGGAGAAACUAUUUCAAAGAAACAAAAAAAGACCAGAUUUUGAGAAUUGUAUCAUUGCUAGUAACUGAGGCAACAGGGUUCUCUCUUCCUUCUUGAAAAAACAAAAAGUAUCAGGUGACUUCAGUCAGGAGGAAGGUAGACAAGCCAAACACUCUAUGAAUUACUCGGGAUGGAGGAAACCUUCUACCUCCUGCAAGGAAACUAAUCGAAACAAUAGACCCUUGUGAAAAAGACCAGAAAAUGCACCCCCCUCCCCCCGCCUGCCCACCCGAAGUCCUCACCACCACCCUCAAGUUUAUGUCUUAAGUUUUUCUCCAACUCGGCCAGCAUUUGCUCACACUAUUUAAUUCCACUUGUUCCCACUGGUGUUACUUGACUGGAAUUUUCCAGCCAUUUCAUUUUACUUCAGCCAGUUAUAAAGCCAGAUCUGAACCAGCUGCACUGUAGCAACCGGUUAAAUUCAUAUCCGCUGUGUGCAGCUGCAACUAAAAGCCAGACAAUGUACUAUGAAAAUGCUGGGUUUUCUCCCUUCCUAAUUACCCUGAGCCACAACUUGAUUUCACUACCAGCCUUCUCACAUUUCAACACCUUCUUAACAACCCAAAGGAGGUGCAUCAGAGAUGAUUUCAGGAAAUUUGUUGUGCAUCCAACCAUAGGACCUUUCAGAGUGAAUGGGGGUUUUGAGCUAGAUAUCUAACGGGACCAUAAAAUAGAUUUAUUUGGUGGCUCUAAAAUCCGUUGACAAGUGUUUUUUUUUAAGGCAUGCUGGGAUCCCUUGGAGAUGAAAAGAUUGAUUCAAGAAAAUUUUGCACCUGAAAAAGUUGAAAGUCAACAAUACAGAUGGCUAAAAUAAGAGUUAGUAAUAGACUUUUUAUAUAAUCACUAUGCUCAUUUUCACCUGUAACAUCUACUCAAAGAUUAAACUCUUCAAUGACGGCUAAAUAAUUCGUCUUUCUAGUCUAACAAACCUAAAAUUUAAACCAACUUGAUAUUAUCUGCAAGAACUACUUUUUUGUUCACCUUAGGAAAAACAAAGAGGAUUUACUUGUGUUGGGCCAACAAAGCAAAGAUAACCGAUUCCAAACAAGUUUCCAAAAAGCAAGCAAGGGUCCAUAUUGAGAUGAGUGGAAUGGUUCCAUAUGUCUCACCACGGCUGUUUUUUUCAUUAAGCACACCAAUUCCAACUCAGGAACUCAGGAUUCAUUUCAAACACCUCCCACAGUAUUGUCCUCUGCUAUGCCAGUGACAUUAACAAUAACUCCUACCUAUCUAGAAGCUCAAAACUUGUUUUCUGCUCUAGUAUCUACACCUACAAAAUAUCCUAGUUAACCUAAAAGAUUUGUCUUUCCAAUUUACUAGUAGUGAUUUGCUGUGAGACAAGUGGAUAUUUCUCUUGUUGUUUCCCAACCAAGCAAGGUAAUUCUCACACAGAGCAUAUGUGUAGAAUUAUCCCUUGAAUCAAAAUGCUGAGGGGGGUGAAUUGAUUGUAAAGCAUGAGUGGGUUUCCUGAGUAGUCCCUUGUAGUUUAAAUAUGCACUGAGCAGGUACCUAGAGAUAUAAUCAAUGUAAAUUUAGAAAACACUGGGUAAUAGUUUCACAUGACUUAAGUUUUAUAAUGCACUUUCAUUCCUCAUAACAAUUACAACAUGAGCUUUUAAAAGGCAAGUACUCAGCCAAUGAAGGGCAAGAAAUUCAUUUCAGACUGUCUUCCUCUUCAGAAAAGCAAAAUUUAUUCAUUCUUAAUUCUUACUUUAGAAACAAGCACAAUUUAAUUGGAAUUUUAAAAAACACCAAACUUUUAAUAUUUCCAGCUAGCAGCCACUAGAAAGUAAAAACUGAAUACAUAAAAUUGUAUUUCAAAAGCUCACAGAUAAUUUAAAAACGUUAGCUAUGCUACUUACUUUUCCCCUCUAUGAACUAAUAUAUAUGCUGUCAUAACUCAAUUUGGCACAUCUGUUCUAUGCCACACCAUUUAUUAUUGAUAGAUGGCAUUUCUGUGCAUUUAAAACAUCAAUGCCUUUUGUUAAACCUCCUCCACCCAGCCCCUCUCAACCCCCACCUUAGACAAACUACUUCAGUUCUCUUCAUUCAUUUUUAAUGUUUCACUCUCCUAGAUCUUCACCACCCACAAGGUUUAUUAGGAAGAGAAAGACAGCAGCUACAAAUCAACCUUUCUACAUGAAAUAGGCAAUAAGAACUUACGAAGGUUUGCUGUGAAAUAAUUUUAAGAGGCACCUGCCUCUCCUU